rnacentral:rRNA from 1 species
UACGAGGGGGGCAAGCGUUGUUCGGAUUUAUUGGGCGUAAAGGGUGCGUAGGCGGUUUGGCAAGUCUGAUGUGAAAUCCUGGAGCUCAACUCCAGAACUGCCUUUGAUACUGAAGAUCUUGAGUUCGGGAGAGGUGAGUGGAACUGCGAGUGUAGAGGUGAAAUUCGUAGAUAUUCGCAAGAACACCAGUGGCGAAGGCGGCUCACUGGCCCGAUACUGACGCUGAGGCACGAAAGCGUGGGGAGCAAACAGG